rnacentral:rRNA from 1 species
CCCUUAGAUGUCCGGGGCUGCACGCGCGCUACACUGAAGGAAUCAGCGUGCUAAAACCAUUGUCGAAAGGCAUUGGUAAACCCAUUAAAAUCCUACGUGAUUGGGAUCGGGAAUUGCAAUUAUUUCCCUUGAACGAGGAAUUCCCAGUAAGUGUGGGUCAUAAGCUCGCGUUGAUUACGUCCCUGCCCUUUGUACACACCGCCCGUCGCUGCCCGGGACUGAGCCGUUUCGAGAAAAGCGGGGACUGCUGCUGUCGGGGCUUUCGGGCCUUGGCUUCGGUGGAAACCGCUUUAAUCGCAGUGACUUGAACCGGGCAAAANUCGUANCA